GACGAACCGUGCGACCGUUGUUCGGAAUCACUGGGCUUAAAGGGCGCGUAGGCGGGCUAUCAAGUCCGGGGUGAAAUCCUCCAGCUUAACUGGAGAACUGCCUCGGAUACUGAUGGUCUCGAGGAGGAUAGGGGCACACGGAACUGUGGGUGGAGCGGUGAAAUGCGUUGAUAUCCAUAGGAACUCCGGUGGCGAAAGCGGUGUGCUGGAUCCUUUCUGACGCUGAGGCGCGAAAGCCAGGGGAGCAAACGGG
rnacentral:rRNA from 1 species